AUGAUUUCUAAUUGGCGGGUGCUAAGCGCCGGCGCGCCGGGCCUAAAUUUGGGCCGAUCACACCAACACCAUGCGAUUCAGCAAAUUAGAGACGUACGAUCUUCUUCCUUCUUCCCCUGUGUCCUCUUUUCUGGGAAACAUCCCCAUGGUGUUGUGGAUGAACGAUGCGCCCGGCCUAGAAGCACUGCCCAACGCAUCUCGCCGGUCGCUGCCCUCGCCGCCGGUCGCCGCCCCUCGUUGUCGUCGUCUCCUGUGUUUCUCGCCGGCUCCGUGCAUGCAGCAGCGUGUCCUGUAGUUGCAGCUCCCCAUGACGGCGAUCGCAGCUCCUGUGACGGCAACUGCAGCUCUGGCGUGCGCCUGUUCCAGCUCGCAGCACCUGUGUCGCCCUUUCCAUGGCGGCACUGCCGCCAUAGCCUGAAGCUGGUCACCGCUCAUCGUCUGCAGCUUCCAAGGACGCCGGUUGCAGCUCCUUUGGAUGCCUAUUCCAGCUUCCCGCUAUCCACGGUUGCAGCUCGCCGCAGCAGUCGGGGUUCUCAUGGACUCCGGAUAUAG
rnacentral:rRNA from 1 species